CUACUACUCCCUCCGUCCGAAAAUACUUGUCAUCAAAAUGGACCAAAAAAAGGAUGUAUCUAAAACUAAAAUACAUCUAGAUACAUCUUCUUUUAUUCAUUUUGAUGACAAGUAUUUCCGGAUGGAGGGAGUAUUAU
rfam:Triticum aestivum genome assembly, contig: Triticum_aestivum_CS42_TGACv1_scaffold_146330_2BS